AGAUGUGGUACAGACCUAAGCAAGUAAGAAGGGUGGGAGGAUUGAUCGCUCCCAUGGAAUGGCCUUCAAAGCCUAAGUACAAGCCUCUGGGAACGCAGAGAGCCCGCUAGCCUUGAGCAAAGAGAGAUUUGAAUUCAUGCCUGAGGUUUAAGUGGCAGCCAUACUGCAGAAGGCCAACGUGACCUCCGGCAGAGACUGGAAGUAAAGCCGGAUUGACAGAGAAGUUCUGCAGAGGAGUAACUAGAAGGUUUUUUUAAAUCUCUGAGAAACGUGAUUGGGUUUUCAGUUUUAAAAGAGCAUUUGGCCAGUGUGUGUAGCCUGAGAUGGCUUGGGAGGGAACAGGCUGACGGGAGAGGAGGAACUAAUGUGAGGGAAGAGGCCACUCCACUAUAUACAGUCAAACACCAGCAACCAGGGCAAGGCUGAGCUUGGCGAGAAGAGGAGAAAAGAGCCAGACGUUCUAGCCUUAGGAGCUUGUAGUAGUCGGGUUUCUCUAGACUCACAGAACUCAUGGAAUGUCUCCACAGAUUAAGGGAAAAUAUUGAAAUGAUUUACAUUCUGCAGUACAACUAACCCAACAAUGGGCAGCUGUGAGUGGGAGGUCCAAGUAUCUAGCAGUUGCUCAGUCCCAUGAGGCUAGGUGUUUCAGCUGCUCUUCUGUCUAAGCUGGAAUCCUGAAGAAGCAGGUUCCAACAGAUGUGCUGGCAAGCAAGUGCAAGCAGACACAGAAGAACGAACCAUUCAUCUUUCCAUUGUCCUUAUGGAGGGCUCCAGCAGAAGCUAUGGCCCAGACGAAGGGCGUAUACCACCAUGCCUGGACCUAAGCUUUUCUUUACUUGGAACUUGCUCUGUCCCAGGCUGACCUUGAACUCAGAAUUCUGCUUGCCUUUGUCUCCUGGGAUUCAAGGUGUGUACUGCCUUGGCUGGGCCUAAGCUUUUCAUGACCACUAUGCCUCAAGAUCCAGAUCAAACCAUGUGUCAUCCCAUGUCAAGAUUUGGGAUCAAAAGCCUGUGUCUUCCAACCUCAAGAUCUGGAUCGCAGGUAUCCCGCACGAGAGAGCGGGGCAGGGUGACACACCAUCGCUGAGGCACUUCUGGAGAGUGGAUCUCUUUGACGACCCCUGCUAUGUCAAUACACAGGCUCUUCAGAGUAUGCACAGCUAUGCUGGAAAUCAAAGCUCAGCUCUGCCACAGGGGAGCCCCUGGCACCUCGGAAGUAAGUGCCUCCCCACUACUUGUAUUUAUUUCCUGGUCUGCCACCACCAACAAGCCAAUCACUGUGCACGUUGUGUCUGAGAACAGCUCCCGAUUCUACCAGCUAUGAAGGUCGAGUGGCCAAGCCAAGCUGUUGGCAGCAUUGACUCCUCUCGAUGCCCUGAGCACUCUGCCUAGUGCCCCUGUCCUCGUUUCUGUGGCUAAUUGGUGACUGUCAACAAUGCUUGGCUCAUAAGCACUACAGUAGCUUACAUCCUCUGCCUCCUGUGGCUGGACAAGUCAGCGUUUUGAGUGUGAUGAGGUGGUUGUACAAGAUCCUUAAUGUGAUUAUAUCUAAGAGGCCAUUUUACCAAAUUAGACAGGUGACUAAGACUUCAACAUGUCUUUUGGGAGACCACUAUGAUCAGGCACCGUUUGUCAUUUAAAAACUAUUUCCUUGGCUUCAUCUUUGGGGAGUUACAAUGAUUUCUCUCUUCUUUCCUUCCCCCCCUCCUUCCCUCCCGCCCUCCUUCCUUUCUUCUCUUCUCUUCUUUCUUUUUUCCUUUCUUUCUAACUUGUUAUUUUUGGGGGGGAUUACAUUUAUUUGUUCAUUUGUGUGUGUUCAUACACAUGAAUAAAACACAACGGCAUUCAGGGCAAGCUGCAGCUCUCUCCCUCCACCCCGUGUGUCUGGCCGUUACACUUGGAUAUGAUGCCUGCAGGCAGGGUUGCAAACCCCUUCAGCAUCUUCAGUCUUUCACUCCUCCAUCGGUGAUCCCAUAGCACAUGGUUUUGAAUCAUUCUUCCAUCACUGAAUUUACUUCCAUUGCUUCGGAGUCUCUGAUGUGUGUUUUUGAUCAAGCUAGGGCUCACAAAGCCAGCUGAUAAGCCUGAAAUUGUUUCUUUGCAUGAGGAGCAAUGGACAUUGUCUGUUCUGUUUAGUGUCAUUGCUCAUGUAAUCACCUCAGCCGCCCUGACAAAUACAGCCCUGAAAUGAGAGCUCUGUUCUCUAACCGUGAACUUCAAUUGUGGGUCGAAUACGAUGAGUGAGAAAUCGUGCUUUGGUGAGCUUGCCUGGGGGUGGUAAAUGUAUAAGUAGGAAUGGAUCAAUAAAUCUAAAUAAGC
rnacentral:lncRNA from 1 species